UUAAUUCCGGUUGAUCCUGCCGGACAAGACUGCUAUCGGAGUUCGACUAAGCCAUGCAAGUUUUCCGCGAGGAAGCGAAAGGCUGAGUAACACGUAGCUAACCUAAUCUCAAGUGGGGCACAACCUCGGGAAACUGAGGAUAAUUCCCCAUAGCCUUCGGAUACUGAAAUGUUCCAAAGGCAAAAGCUUCGGCGCUUGAGAAUGGGGCUGCGGCCUAUCAGCUUGUUGGUAAGGUAAUGGCUUACCAAGGCUAAGACGGGUAGGGGCAGUGUGAGCUGGAGCCCCCAGAUGGGUACUGAGACACGGACCCAAGCCUUACGAGGUGCAGCAGGCGCGAAACCUUCUCAAUGCACGCAAGUGUGAAGAGGGGACUCUGAGUGUUUGUGCUUUUUGUACAAACUUUUAACCAGUGUAAACAGCUGGUUGAGUAAGGGCUGGGAAAGACAGGAGCCAGCCGUCGCGUUAAUAACUGCAC
rnacentral:rRNA from 1 species